ACGCUGGCGGCGUGCCUAAUACAUGCAAGUAGAACGCUGAAGAGAGGAGCUUGCUCUUCUUGGAUGAGUUGCGAACGGGUGAGUAACGCGUAGGUAACCUGCCUUGUAGCGGGGGAUAACUAUUGGAAACGAUAGCUAAUACCGCAUAACAAUGGGUGACACAUGUCAUUUAUUUGAAAGGGGCAAUUGCUCCACUACAAGAUGGACCUGCGUUGUAUUAGCUAGUAGGUGAGGUAACGGCUCACCUAGGCGACGAUACAUAGCCGACCUGAGAGGGUGAUCGGCCACACUGGGACUGAGACACGGCCCAGACUCCUACGGGAGGCAGCAGUAGGGAAUCUUCGGCAAUGGGGGCAACCCUGACCGAGCAACGCCGCGUGAGUGAAGAAGGUUUUCGGAUCGUAAAGCUCUGUUGUAAGUCAAGAACGAGUGUGAGAGUGGAAAGUUCACACUGUGACGGUAGCUUACCAGAAAGGGACGGCUAACUACGUGCCAGCAGCCGCGGUAAUACGUAGGUCCCGAGCGUUGUCCGGAUUUAUUGGGCGUAAGGCGAGCGCAGGCGGUUUGAUAAGUCUGAAGUUAAAGGCUGUGGCUCAACCAUAGUUCGCUUUGGAAACUGUCGAACUUGAGUGCAGAAGGGGAGAGUGGAAUUCCAUGUGUAGCGGUGAAAUGCGUAGAUAUAUGGAGGAACACCGGUGGCGAAAGCGGCUCUCUGGUCUGUAACUGACGCUGAGGCUCGAAAGCGUGGGGAGCGAACAGGAUUAGAUACCCUGGUAGUCCACGCCGUAAACGAUGAGUGCUAGGUGUUGGAUCCUUUCCGGGAUUCAGUGCCGCAGCUAACGCAUUAAGCACUCCGCCUGGGGAGUACGACCGCAAGGUUGAAACUCAAAGGAAUUGACGGGGGCCCGCAC
rnacentral:rRNA from 1 species